rnacentral:rRNA from 1 species
CACGUAGGGGGGCGAGCGUUGCUCGGAAUCACUGGGCGUAAAGCGCACGUAGGCGGCUUUUUAAGUCAGGGGUGAAAUCCUGGAGCUCAACUCCAGAACUGCCUUUGAUACUGAGAAGCUUGAGUCCGGGAGAGGUGAGUGGAACUGCGAGUGUAGAGGUGAAAUUCGUAGAUAUUCGCAAGAACACCAGUGGCGAAGGCGGCUCACUGGCCCGGUACUGACGCUGAGGUGCGAAAGCGUGGGAGCAAACGG